UAGACCUGGAAGAUUUUAAAUGAGCAGUUCAUUCAUAAAUACGUAAGAUCACAGUGGAAAUACAAACCGGAAGUCAAAAGACAACGAGCGCAGCGCUGAAAAGGGGCGGGGCUACAUAAACUGUUGCUCGAGCCUCGCGUCUUUUGCACUUCUCCUGCAUGACACGACGUUCUACACAACGCGUCAUUAAAGUUAAAAGAUGUUCAACUUUGGGGGAAAAAGGCUUUUCGACACCUUACAUUUUUCCCCACCCCACCGCCCUGAAUCUCCCGUUUUUAAACGCAAAACGUGUAACGUUGUGUGUGAAUGUUCUGUGUUUGCGCGUUCCCGACUGACUUUUGUGCAGUGGUAGGAUUUGUUUUUGUUUUUUUGGUGAUUCUUUCUUACAUCAUUAAGCCAAUAGGUGGCGACAGUCAUUUAAUAAUUCACUUUAACCGAUUCGUUCAAAAACACUGAUUCAUUACUAAGCGUUGUUUGGAAACGAAACGUUUGACUGCUCGAACUUUGUUUGGAUCCAUUUUCAAUUGCGGUAAAAAGACAAAGUAACGGAAAUAAAUGACCAGACUCCAUAAUGAUAGCCAGAGGCAUAGUCACUGCACACCGCACAGAAGCGCGUCUCCUUCCCUGAAUCAAACCCUCCCGCAGCUCUUGAUCCGGUGUACAACUCCUGCCUGUCAGUCGCACUGCACAACACCUCACACAGACCAACACCUGCCUGCUGAGAAGAUACCACACUGGACCUAGAGACAGAAAAAGAACCUGGAACAGCGUCCAAAACAUCAACACUACCAGAGCUCGUAUUUAAAGCUGCACUGACCUGUAGACUGUGCUAGAAGAUGCGUCCAGGUAGUAAGACACCUGUUGGGUCGAGUGGUGUCCUCCAUGAUG